GAUGAACGCUCGCGGCAGGCCUAAUACAUGCAAGUCGGACGGGAUUCAGGAGCUUGCUUCUGAUGAGAGUGGCGCACGGGUGCGUAACACGUAUGUAACCUACCUUUAUCAGGGGGAUAGCCUCUCGAAAGAGAGAUUAAGCCCGCAUAAAAUCACAGCACAGCAUUGUGUAAUGAUCAAAUAUUUAUAGGAUAAAGAUGGGCAUGCGGAACAUUAGCUAGAUGGCGGGGUAACGGCCCACCAUGGCGACGAUGUUUAGGGGAUCUGAGAGGAUGGCCCCCCACACUGGUACUGAGACACGGACCAGACUCCUACGGGAGGCAGCAGUAAGGAAUAUUGGUCAAUGGGCGGAAGCCUGAACCAGCCAUGCCGCGUGCAGGAAGACGGCCCUACGGGUUGUAAACUGCUUUUAGACGGGAAUAAACCCAGAUACGUGUAUCUGGCUGAAUGUACUGUAAGAAUAAGGAUCGGCUAACUCCGUG
rnacentral:rRNA from 1 species